rnacentral:rRNA from 1 species
AGCAUGGCCCUUACGGCCUGGGCGACACACGUGCUACAAUGCCCCAACUACAAAGCGAUGCCACCCGGCAACGGGGAGCUAAUCGCAAAAAGGUGGGCCCAGUUCGGAUUGGGGUCUGCAACCCGACCCCAUGAAGCCGGAAUCGCUAGUAAUCGCGGAUCAGCCAUGCCGCGGUGAAUACGUUCCCGGGCCUU